rnacentral:rRNA from 1 species
UACGAAGGGGGCUAGCGUUGCUCGGAAUCACUGGGCGUAAAGGGUGCGUAGGCGGGUCUUUAAGUCAGAGGUGAAAUCCUGGAGCUCAACUCCAGAACUGCCUUUGAUACUGAGGAUCUUGAGUUCGGGAGAGGUGAGUGGAACUGCGAGUGUAGAGGUGAAAUUCGUAGAUAUUCGCAAGAACACCAGUGGCGAAGGCGGCUCACUGGCCCGGUACUGGCGCUGAGGCACGAAAGCGUGGGGAGCAAACAGG